GUGGGAAGUUUUUGGAGGGAAGGAUGCGGGGGGUCUAUUUGGAAACAGCCUCUCUAUCCCAGUAUAGGGGUAACGUACGCGCACAUACUACCCUCUCCAGACCCCCACUAAGUGGGAUUAUACUGGGUUGUUGUUGUUGUUGUUGCGGAGAAGUUAUGAAGCAGAUUUUUUUGUCUUACAUUGAUAUUUGUAAAGGAUUCAUGAGUGAGAAGUUAGGG
rnacentral:lncRNA from 1 species